GUUUUGGCUUAGUGGUAGAGUGCUUGCCUAGCAUGUGUGAGGCACUGGGUUCAAUCCUCAGCACCACA
rnacentral:tRNA from 1 species